UAUAGAGUAUUGCUACGGUCUUGAUGUCUGAUAAAUCAACUGUAUGCGGUUUCAAAACCUGCCGCCUCGUCCCACAGGUCGUGACCGGCAUCCAGUGUUUCUAAGCUGCUGCCUCUUUUUGUGUAUUUAUCUCUUGUCUGUCUUAUGUUCCUUGUAGUGUUUUAAUGUUGAUUCUUAUAGAUCACAUGAUACCUAGUGUAUUAUUACUUCUCUCCAUUGGUUAAGAAUGCGGUCAGUUCAUUCAAACGUUUUUUUGUUUUUCUUAGGGUAAGUGAGGCAGUGCAGCAGAGUCUGGCGGGUCAGUGUUGGUGUGGCAGUAGUGGUGUGAGGGUGCGUCGCUGUGAGCUCUGCCUGGCUGUGACUGGGCCGCUCCAGCCGGGGAUUGCCAGGAUGGGUGGACGGACGGUCAUUGCCAGGUAACUCCCGCCUCCAGCACCACCGCCAUAUACCCGCCUCGCUCUCUCUCUCUCUCUCUCCCUGCCGGCCAUAUUAACACUCAGUCGUGCCGUCGUGCCUGGUGCUCCUGGACACUGGAUGGAGUCCUGUCCACGGCGGGGUGUUGAGGUCACUGAUCGAGGGUGACCCGCUGACCCUGCAGUGCACCGCAUCGGGGGG